rnacentral:lncRNA from 1 species
GGGGACCUAUGUCUGUCUUCCUUGGCAUGCACAGGAUGUCACACAUUGUAUUCUGUGCUCGGCGCGCCAUCUCCAUGCGGACGGAGGCAUUGUGGGGGGGUUGCUAUUAAUAACAUCAUGACUUUGCCUCCGUUUCUCUGUCUGCAUCGCUUCCAUAGUGCCGGGUCCCCUAAAAUCAUGCAGUGGUUUUACCACGGUAGCGUCUCCCCAUCGUGUAUCUGUAUCAUUCUCGAACGCUUUCGUGGUGAGAGCAGUGGUGGGCCUUCCCGUUUUGGGAUCGGCUUUGUGUUCACCAAGCCUGGCGUCUGGCCCUCUCCUCGUGCUGCCAAUGUGAAGUUGUAGCUUGGCCUCAUCGUUGUUGAGGGUCGGUGUUUCGUAUGCCCCCGCUUUUUGACCGGCCUCCAUACUAUCUUUGUCGUUGCGGAGCAGGCCAGGUAUCGUCGUUCCCCGUUUCUUCACCAUCUUUGUGGUGCCCUGCUUGAUUGCCUUGGUCAGUGCUCUAUCCGUGGAG